ACGAACGCUGGCGGCGUGCCUAAUACAUGCAAGUUGAGCGCUGAAGGUUGGUACUUGUACCAACUGGAUGAGCAGCGAACGGGUGAGUAACGCGUGGGGAAUCUGCCUUUGAGCGGGGGACAACAUUUGGAAACGAAUGCUAAUACCGCAUAAAAACUUUAAACACAAGUUUUAAGUUUGAAAGAUGCAAUUGCAUCACCCAAAGAUGAUCCCGCGUUGUAUUAGCUAGUUGGUGAGGUAAAGGCUCACCAAGGCGAUGAUACAUAGCCGACCUGAGAGGGUGAUCGGCAACAUUGGGACUGAGACACGGCCCAAACUCCUACGGGAGGCAGCAGUAGGGAAUCUUCGGCAAUGGACGAAAGUCUGACCGAGCAACGCCGCGUGAGUGAAGAAGGUUUUCGGAUCGUAAAACUCUGUUGGUAGAGAAGAACGUUGGUGAGAGUGGAAAGCUCAUCAAGUGACGGUAACUACCCAGAAAGGGACGGCUAACUACGUG
rnacentral:rRNA from 1 species